AGAAGAGAAGAGAAGAGAAGAGAAGAGAAGAGAAGAGAAGAGAAGAGAAGAGAAGAGAAGAGAAGACAGAGACUGUAUCAGGUCUAUAACACAGAGAGACAGAGACUGUAUCAGGUCUAUAACACAGAGAGACAGAGACUGUAUCAGGUCUAUAACACAGAGAGACAGAGACUGUAUCAGGUCUAUAACACAGCUCCUACAGACAGAGACUGUAUCAGGUCUAUAACACAGAGAGACAGAGACUGUAUCAGGUCUAUAACACAGAGAGACAGAGACUGUAUCAGGUCUAGAACACAGAGAAACAGAGACUGUAUCAGGUCUAUAACACAGAGAGACAGAGACUGUAUCAGGUCUAUAACACAGAGAGACAGAGACUGUAUCAGGUCUAUAACACAGAGAGACAGAGACUGUAUCAGGUCUAUAACACAGAGAGACAGAGACUGUAUCAGGUCUAUAACACAGCUCCUCCUGACAGAGACUGUAUCAGGUCUAUAACACAGAGAGACAGAGACUGUAUCAGGUCUAUAACACAGAGAGACAGAGACUGUAUCAGGUCUAUAACACAGAGAGACAGAGACUGUAUCAGGUCUAUAACACAGAGAGACAGAGACUGUAUCAGGUCUAUAACACAGAGAGACAGAGACUGUAUCAGGUCUAUAACACAGAGAGACAGAGACUGUAUCAGGUCUAUAACACAGAGAGACAGAGACUGUAUCAGGUCUAUAACACAGAGAGACAGAGACUGUAUCAGGUCUAUAACACAGAGAGACAGAGACUGUAUCAGGUCUAUAACACAGAGAGACAGAGACUGUAUCAGGUCUAUAACACAGAGAGACAGAGACUGUAUCAGGUCUAUAACACAGAGAGACAGAGACUGUAUCAGGUCUAUAACACAGAGAGACAGAGACUGUAUCAGGUCUAUAACACAGAGAGACAGAGACUGUAUCAGGUCUAUAACACAGAGAGACAGAGACUGUAUCAGGUCUAUAACACAGAGAGACAGAGACUGUAUCAGGUCUAUAACACAGAGAGACAGAGACUGUAUCAGGUCUAUAACACAGAGAGACAGAGACUGUAUCAGGUCUCUAACACAGAGAGACAGAGACUGUAUCAGGUCUCUAACACAGAGAGACAGAGACUGUAUCAGGUCUAUAACACAGCUCCUCCUGACAGAGACUAAGACACAUUGAAGAGACAGAGAGUUGUGAAUCAUCUCCUCAUGAUGACAACCAAGUCUGUUAUGUUAUGGUUUAUUCACACACACGCACACGCACACGCACACAGACACACACACACACACACACACACACACACACACACACACACACACACACACACACACACACACACACACACACACACACACACACACACACACACACACACACACACACUCUCUCUCUCUCUGGUUUCCCCAGUCUGAACCCCCCUCUGUUUUUGAUGACAGAGUCUGUUAAUCAGAGAACGUCUCCAUUCUGUUAGUUCAACUCAACAAAUCACAGGGCUGUGUGUUUUAUAAUAGAGACCAGAUGACUGAGUGAGGCUGCAGGCAGCUG